rnacentral:rRNA from 1 species
GAUGAACGCUGGCUACAGGCUUAACACAUGCCAGUCGAGGGGAAACGACGGGGAAGCUUGCUUCCCCGGGCGUCGACCGGCGCACGGGUGAGUAACGCGUAUCCAACCUGCCUCUGACUGAGGGAUAACCCGUCGAAAGUCGGCCUAAUACCUCAUGGCAUCGUCUGCGGGCAUCCAACGACGAUUAAAGAUUUCAUCGGUCAGAGAUGGGGAUGCGUCUGAUUAGCUUGUUGGUGGGGUAACGGCCCACCAAGGCGACGAUCAGUAGGGGUUCUGAGAGGAAGGUCCCCCACAUUGGAACUGAGACACGGUCCAAACUCCUACGGGAGGCAGCAGUGAGGAAUAUUGGUCAAUGGGCGAGAGCCUGAACCAGCCAAGUAGCGUGCAGGAUGACGGCCCUAUGGGUUGUAAACUGCUUUUAUGCGGGGAUAAAGUGAGGGACGUGUCCUUCAUUGCAGGUACCGCAUGAAUAAGGACCGGCUAAUUCCGUG